AGGAGUGGGGAUGACGUCAAGUCAUCAUGCCCCUUAUGUCCUGGGCUGCACACGUGCUACAAUGGCCGGUACAAUGGGCUGCGAUGCCGCGAGCGGAGACGAAUCCCAUAAAACCGGUCCCAGUUCGGAUCGGAGGCUGCAACCCGCCUCCGUGAAGUCGGAGUUGCUAGUAAUCGCGGAUCAGCAUGCCGCGGUGAAUACGUUCCCGGGCCUU
rnacentral:rRNA from 1 species